GUUAGCAAAUUAGGGUUCGCUUUUGUUUUCAUUUAUUUAUUUUCCAAAUUUAGUGAGAAAUUAAAUGAAACACGUACCUUUUGAGCUGCGAGCGGGCAAAAGCGGUACGUGGUGUGCGCAUGCGCAUAUUAUUCUGUACCGUCAACGCUUAGAUGCGUUGCUUCCAUUACAGGAUAGAUAGCGUUACAUACCCCGUGAGCGGCUACUUACGCUUCGAUUUGCUUCCAACGCAUUUGUUUCUAGCGUAAUUAGCUGCUUUGCGUCCGUACUUGCUUCAGCUUAGAACACGGUUUGUAAAUUACUCACGUAAUAUUCUCGUGAAAGAAAAAAAACAUGGAUCUGAAGAAAAAUCUUUGAUGAUUCUGCUUUUCGCUUUCCUGACAUCGGUUUCGUGGUCUGUAUUUCAGACAAAGGAAAUUUGAGGAGGGAAGUCAUUCAUGUACACGAAGGAAACAAAACGGCGGAAGAUACGGAGUUUACAAUCGUCAAGAGACGGCGUGCGGUGAGUGAGAUGAAGUCACUUUCCACCACACCUUGCCGCAUCGAACACCCGAAACAUUGCGGAAACGGUUCCUGACCACAGGGGUGUACAUGUGUCAGUUUCAGGUCCUGGAAGAUCACGAGUACCAACUUCUGGAAGACGAAACCCACCAGUUCGCGGAUGCGACGACUUCCGUGAAGAAGUCGGAACGCUGCCUCGCGGUCUCUUCAGUUCGACGACACUCCGCCAGGGUCCGCUGUGGACCGCGUCGAUGACGUCGAUGACGUCGAUGACUUCGAUGACUUCGAUGACUUCGAUGACGCCAGUUCUCCGCUCACACCAACAACCAGACGUCGCUACGGCUCUUAAUCGAAUGGCAGCGGCGCAUAGGAGAGCGGGAACAUCGUGUUCGCUCGGAUUCUCCAGGAGUUAAUCGAUUACAACCGAACACUGAUUCGAAUUUUUUCUACCAAUUUUGUAUCGAAGUGAAAAAAAAAAAAGAAAAAAAAAACAUUUAUUACAAAAA